ACAAAGCUUCCGUGGGUGAACCUGCGGAAGGAUCAUUACCGGUUGCCCCCGGGGAAGCCUGCCGCAUGUCUUACCGCGGGGCAGGGCUCAUCUCAACAGGGGACCGAAAGCCAAAAAACCCAGAGCCGAGGGUCUUCCGCCCCAAGGAUCCGUCUGGCGCGUAGAUGGGUGCGGGGCGAGCUUCGAGUUCUCCCCGGCCUGCCCGGGUUUCACCGUAAGGAGGGUCCAGAGAGGCGCGCGUGAGCCCGAGAUCGUCCUGCCCGUAGGCGCUAUGGGUCUUGCCGCGGGGAGUGGCAUCGGGCCCAGCGACCCUCGCGGGGUGCCGGUUUCCGCCUCGUCCAACACCUUUCUCGUCUGGGCUCCAGAAUCCGCCCGAUAGAGCGGAACGGUCGCCUGCCCCCCCCUCCUCCUUUCCGAACUAGCGCCGCGCCCUAGCUCGGUCCGCUCCGAGGGCUGACAGACUCGCAGUGUCGGACCUCACGGUCACGGAACGGCUGUGCGCUGUGGUCGCUGCUCCCGUGUCAGUUCGCUCCCGUCCGGGACCGUAACCUCGGAACCUUUACCUCUAGCGCGGUUGAGGCGGCUUCGCACUGGUCGCAUUCCGCGCGCCUCCGGGUACCCAACGCUUCUCACGCCUACGGGGUAAGUAGAGUGGUUCAAUGUCUCCUACGUCAGUCUGUACCUCCUCCGCUACCGGUGGGUGUCUUAGCGGGAUGGAGCGCCCGGGGGUUACCUGUCGAACCCUUGUCGAAAACCCCUGUCGUCUCCGAACUUGCGGCCUUGACAAACAAAACAAAACAAAAACUUUGACAACUCUUAGCGGUGGAUCACUCGGCUCGUGCGUCGAUGAAGAACGCAGCAAGCUGCGAGAAGUAAUGUGAAUUGCAGGACACAUUGAUCAUCGAGACUUCGAACGCACCUUGCGGCCCCGGGUUGCUCCCGGGGCUACGCCUGUCUGAGGGUCGCUUUGACAUCAAUCGGAAAGGCAGCUCUCCACGAGCCUUCUCGCGGAUGCGGCCGCCGCAGGCAUCCGUUGCCUUCAUCCCACUAAGCGCUGUCUGCACGGGAGUCACUCGUCGACCUCGGGUGCGGUUCCGGAGUGGAUUGUCUGGCUUCCCGCCCGUUCGUCGUACCUAUUGGGGUACCGUUCCCCUGUUCCUGUGUGUCUUACUCCGAUGAACCUAUAAACACCGGGGGGAUGGGGCGCCUAGUCGGGAUCCGCAUGUGUCGGGCGCGGCUGUCGGUCGACCUACUAUGUAUCUCGAGCUGCCGGCGUUACACGUGCGACCCGGUUUGGAAGGGAUCGCUGCGGCUAGUAGUUCGAGCUUCAGCGGGCGACCUGAGUCUUUGGGCCGUCGUGGAGCAUGAGGAUCCCACCGGCUCGACGCGGCGCACUCCGCCUCCGGAGGCGUAACGGCCCCCCCAGGCCAUCCCGGAGCGCGUGAGCCCCCCCUUCCACUCGUGGGACGGGGG
rnacentral:rRNA from 1 species